rnacentral:rRNA from 1 species
AACGAACGCUGGCGGCAGGCCUAAAACAUGCAAGUCGAACGCCCUAGCAAUAGGGAGUGGCGCACGGGUGAGUAACACGUGGGAAUGUGCCUUUUGGUACGGAACAACUUUUGGAAACGAAAGCUAAUACCGUAUGGUCCCUUCGGGGUAAAGAUUUAUCGCCAAAAGAGCAGCCCGCGUCUGAUUAGCUAGUUGGCGGGGUAAUGGCCCACCAAGGCGACGAUCAGUAGCUGGUCUGAGAGGACGAUCAGCCACACUGGGACUGAGACACGGCCAGACUCCUACGGGAGGCAGCAGUUAGGAAUAUUGGACAAUGGGAGCAAGCCUGAUCCAGCCAUGCCGCGUGAGUGAUGAAGGCCUUCGGGUUGUAAAGCUCUUUAGUCCACGAAUAUAAUGACUGUAGUGGAAGAAUAAGCCCCGGCUAACUUCGUGCCAGCCGCCGCCGUAAAAC